AGUGGGAGUCUGACAGCAAGAUAUUGCCAAGCCAUUAGCUUUUCAAGAUGAUCAAGAGCAGUGACAUUUCCACAUUUUCAGAGCUCUCAACAAACACAGCUAAUUAAGUCUUGCAUCAUCACUGCAGCUAAACACAAGAACGCUUUCCCCAGAGCACAGCACUGGGCCAGUCUGCUGCUGGGUGUAGCAAAACCAGCGAGUGCAAGUCAGAGGCUGGAAGGUGGCGGAAAUAAACAGUACACAGGAAAUUUUGGAAGAGUGGUUAACAAACUUAGUAGCAAGCCAUGAGUUCCUGUUUUUACUUUAAUAAAGUAAUAUAUG